rnacentral:rRNA from 1 species
CAGUCGUACCGGCGGAUAAUCAGCCUUUCGGGUGCGAUUCUGUGGGGCGUGAGGAGUUUAACCGCCUUCAUGUUUUGCAUAUUCGUGCACAUUUGGUGUACUUGUCCGUGUGGUGGGUUAACACCAAUUUCGGUCGUCAUAAAAUGAUUGGAGGAAUGUAGCUUUGAUCUCGUAUCGAAGUGUUAUAGACUCUGGUAGAUGUGACGAGUUGGGAUUGGAGGAUUGCAACGGACUUACCCCGUUUGGGGGCCUACCCGGUCU